rnacentral:lncRNA from 1 species
GGGAGGCCUCCCCGAGUCUCUUACUGAGAGCUGGGGCCUUGGGAGGCUUUGUUGCAGGAGAGGAGAUGGUCAGGGUUCCCAGGCAAGGCUGCCUUGGUCCCCAGCCAAUUAAAGUCCUGGUCCCCCUAGCCACUCUCUGCAGAGCCCCUCUUGGGGAGUCUCUUCCUGCCGCCCUGAUGCAAGCCCCAGUUCUGCCCCCUUGUCCCUUCGGGUGGGUGCAGUGUUGGCUCUGAACCCUCCGUGCCCUCUGCUGCUGGCCGCACCUCUCCCUGCCCCUCCCAGGCCCCAUGUUGUGGAAAGGUCAGCCAUAAGGGUCAGGGGUCCCCACUCUUGUGUCUCCAGCACCCCACCCUCAGCAAAGCCAGAGCCCCUGGUGUGCCCACCCUCAGAUCCUGCAGUUGCAUUCUCACCCACCCCUGCCCUAUUGAGGCUCCAACCCAGGAAAUAAGUGGACAGCCCAGAUCCGAGGGUCCACCCUGCUGGACAGAAGCGAUGGGCAGAGAAUAGGGUGUUGAAUGGAGGUGACAGGUAUGGGAUGCAGUUACUGGUGGUGAUGGAGCACAGUUGGGUUAGAAGAUGAGGACAUUGACUUGGAGAAGAGAUCAAGGCUUGGAAGGGACAGGCAGUCUGCAGUGGUUCAUCCACGAGAACAUUAGACCACCAGGAAUUCAGGCAGCGAUGGGUGGGGACGAAGCCAUAGUGAGAGCUGCUGCUGGGUGGUUGGUGGCCAAUGACACGUGCUCCAGCUGGGACGCUCAAGGAGAGGAGGGAAUUGGGGUCUGCAGGCCUCAGCCAGGAGCACAGGAGUAUUUGGGGGAGAGAGAAAGCAGCCCCCAGAGAGGACUGUGGGGAGGGACAGCAUGGAAGGAGGGCCCUCAGCAGGGAGGACG